CCGAGCCCUAUGAGUACCUUGUGCAUUCCCUUGACAUGCCAAGGAAGGCCCUUGAGGUUGUCCCUCAAGGCAGCACACUUGGGGUGGCCAUCUGUCGACACACCCGGGGGAGGCUGGUAGGCUGUCACCAUUCAUACCCCCCUUAUAUAUGCUUAAAAUAAAUAAUCCCAAUGUCGGCUACUAGACAUCAUUUUACCCGAGAAUCAUACUGGGGCUUAGAUCAUUCAUCCGACCUUCAAAUUGGGUGCCGUUUAUUGCUACUCCUUUCUCUUGACUUCCUUCACACCUCCAUGAAGUUUCACCCCAUUCCCAUACACAUGGAAGGAGUUAUGGCCUUCGGACCAAUCAGCAAAUUACGACAAUGCCACUGGACUUUGGCCAAGUCAAUCCCCUAUCCAAACGGACUCCAAA
rnacentral:lncRNA from 1 species